GACGUAGGGCGCGAGCGUUGUCCGGAUUUAUUGGGCGUAAAGAGCUCGUAGGCGGCUUGUCGCGUCAACUGUGAAAACCCGUGGCUCAACCAUGUGGUCUGCAGUCGAUACGGGCAGGCUAGAAUUCGGUAGGGGAGACUGGAAUUCCUGGUGUAGCGGUGAAAUGCGCAGAUAUCAGGAGGAACACCGGUGGCGAAGGCGGGUCUCUGGGCCGAUAUUGACGCUGAGGAGCAAAAGCGUGGGGAGCGAACAGG
rnacentral:rRNA from 1 species